UAUCUGGUGUUGCUGAGUUGACAGAUGA
rnacentral:piRNA from 1 species